rnacentral:rRNA from 1 species
CCCGGGUCUUGUACACACCGCCCGUCACACCAUGGGAGUGGAAUCCCGCCAGAAGUAGGUAGUCUAACCGCAAGGGGGACGCUUACCACGGUAGGUUUCAUGACUGGGGGUG